AUAUAAGGUCUGGCCUGCCCACUGAUCAAUUGAAGGGCCGCGGUAUACUAACCGUGCGAAGGUAGCAUAGUCAAUAGUCUUUUAAUUGGAGGCUUGAAUGAACGGUCGGACAUGAAGAGAACUGUCUCAUAAGAUAAUACUGAAUUUAACUUCUAUGUGAAAAGGCAAUGAUAGAUUAGGGGGACGAUAAGACCCUAUAAAACUUUACUAUUGGUUGUUAAGCUCUUCGGUAUAAGGUUAAAGGGGAGUUUGACAGGGUAGUUGCGCUGGGGCGGCGGGAAUAUAAGUUGUAGCUGUUCUUGGAAUUUAAAUAAUUAUAAUUAGAUUUUGACCCUGAACUUUGGUUUGUAAGUGUCAGUUACUUUAGGGAUAACAGCGUUAUUUCUCCUGAGAGUUCAUAUCGACGGAGACAUUUGCGACCUCGAUGUUGAAUUAAAGCUGUCUUCGGGGGCAGGAGUUCGAAAGACAGGUCUGUUCGACCUUUAAAGCUUUACAUGAUUUG
rnacentral:rRNA from 1 species